AGCACGAUGUUGCCUGGUGGUGGGCGCAGGUUACCAAACCUGUGGGAAACUCGGCGAUCCAGUGGUUCGAUUCCACCUUG
rnacentral:tRNA from 16 species